AGGUUACUGCUAUCGGUGUUCGCCUAAGCCAUGCGAGUCAUAUGUUCGUAAGAACAUGGCGUACUGCUCAGUAACACGUGGAUAACCUGCCCUUGGGUCCGGCAUAACCCCGGGAAACUGGGGAUAAUUCCGGAUAACGCACAUAUGCUGGAAUGCUUUAUGCGUAAAAUGGAUUCGUCUGCCCAAGGAUGGGUCUGCGGCCUAUCAGGUAGUAGUGGGUGUAAUGUACCUACUAGCCUACGACGGGUACGGGUUGUGAGAGCAAGAGCCCGGAGAUGGAUUCUGGGACAUGAAUCCAGGCCCUACGGGGCGCAGCAGGCGCGAAAACUUUACAAUGCGGGAAACCGUGAUAAGGGGACACCGAGUGCCAGCAUCCUAUGCUGGCUGUCCGGGUGUGUAAAAUACACCUGUUAGCAAGGGCCGGGCAAGACCGGUGCCAGCCGCCGCGGUAACACCGGCGGCCCGAGUGGUGAUCGUGAUUAUUGGGUCUAAAGGGUCCGUAGCCGGUUUGGUCAGUCCUCCGGGAAAUCUGACAGCUUAACUGUUAGGCUUUCGGAGGAUACUGCCAGACUUGGAACCGGGAGAGGUAAGAGGUACUACAGGGGUAGGAGUGAAAUCUUGUAAUCCCUGUGGGACCACCUGUGGCGAAGGCGUCUUACCAGAACGGGUUCGACGGUGAGGGACGAAAGCUGGGGGCACGAACCGGAUUAGAUACCCGGGUAGUCCCAGCCGUAAACGAUGCUCGCUAGGUGUCAGGCAUGGCGCGACCGUGUCUGGUGCCGCAGGGAAGCCGUGAAGCGAGCCACCUGGGAAGUACGGCCGCAAGGCUGAAACUUAA
rnacentral:rRNA from 1 species